CUUAGGACUUGAGGAUUUCCCUAGUUCCUGGUUUUCCAAAUGGAAGUCACAGUCACCAACAUCCAGGAUCUGUCUGAACUGUAGGCAUCCUCCCUGCCCCGACCCUGGUACUAGUGUUUCCAAAAGGCUGCAGGGCUCAGCCUGAUCCCUGUUGCCUGACUAUUCCUGCGAUCAAGCUGGUCCCCUUCUUCAGGGCAGUUCCUCCAGAUGUGCAGACCUUGCGCGCCUUCACCACUGAGCUGGUUGUAGAGGCUGUGGUCCGCUGCCUGCGUGUGAUCAACCCUGCGGUGGGCUCUGGCCUCAGCCCUCUGCUGCCUCUUGCCAUGUCUGCCCGGUUCCGCCUGGCCAUGAGCCUGGCUCAGGCCUGCAUGGACCUGGGCUAUCCCUUGGAGCUUGGCUAUCAGAACUUCCUCUACCCCAGUGAGCCUGACCUCCGAGACCUGCUUCUCUUCUUGGCUGAGCGUCUGCCCACCGAUGCCUCUGAGGAUGCAGACCAGCCUGCAGGUGACUCAGCUAUUCUCCUCCGGGCCAUUGGGAGCAAAAUUCGGGACCAGCUGGCACUGCCUUGGGUCCCGCCCCUCCUUCGCACUCCCAAGCUGCAGCACCUCCAGGGCUCAGCCCUCCAGAAGCCUUUCCAUGCCAGCAGGCUGGUCGUGCCAGAAUUGAGUUCCAGAGGCGAGCCACGGGAGUUCCAGGCGAGUCCCCUGCUGCUUCCAGUCCCUACCCAGGUGCCUCAGCCUG
rnacentral:sRNA from 1 species